rnacentral:tRNA from 1 species
GUCCGAGUGGCCGAGGGGCAAGGCGACGGCCUGCAAAGCCGUUCACACCGGUUCGAAUCCGGUCUCGGACU